AACGCUAGCUACAGGCUUAACACAUGCAAGUCGAGGGGCAGCACAAGGCAGCAAUGCUGAGGUGGCGACCGGCGCACGGGUGCGUAACGCGUAUCCAACCUUCCCGUUACUCUUGGAUAGCCUUCCGAAAGGGAGAUUAAUACAUGAUGGUGUUGAAAUUCCGCAUGUUAUUUCAACUAAAGAUUUAUCGGUAACGGAUGGGGAUGCGUGACAUUAGAUAGAUGGCGGGGUAACGGCCCACCAUGUCCACGAUGUCUAGGGGUUCUGAGAGGAAGGUCCCCCACACUGGAACUGAGACACGGUCCAGACUCCUACGGGAGGCAGCAGUGAGGAAUAUUGGUCAAUGGCCGGAAGGCUGAACCAGCCAAGUAGCGUGAAGGAUGAAGGUUCUAUGGAUUGUAAACUUCUUUUAUACGGGAAUAAAACCUCCCACGUGUGGGAGCUUGUAUGUACCGUAUGAAUAAGCAUCGGCUAACUCCGUGCCAGCAGCCGCGGUAAUACGGAGGAUGCGAGCGUUAUCCGGAUUUAUUGGGUUUAAAGGGAGCGUAGACGGGAGAUUAAGUCAGCUGUGAAAGUUUGAGGCCCAACCUUAAAAUUGCAGUUGAUACUGGUUUCCUUGAGUGCGGUUGAGGUGUAUGGAAUUCGUGGUGUAGCGGUGAAAUGCUUAGAUAUCACGAAGAACUCCGAUUG
rnacentral:rRNA from 1 species